CCUACGGGGGGCUGCAGUGAGGAAUAUUGGUCAAUGGGCGGGAGCCUGAACCAGCCAAGUCGCGUGAGGGAAGACGGUCCUAUGGAUUGUAAACCUCUUUAGGCGGGGAGCAAUGCCGGGCACGCGUGCCCGGAGGGAGAGUACCCGCAGAAUAAGCAUCGGCUAACUCCGUGCCAGCAGCCGCGGUAAUACGGAGGAUGCGAGCGUUAUCCGGAUUUAUUGGGUUUAAAGGGUGCGUAGGCGGAUUUUUAAGUCAGCGGUAAAAUGUCCGGGCUCAACCCGGGCCGGCCGUUGAAACUGGGUGCCUUGAGUGGGCGAGAAGUACGCGGAAUGCGUGGUGUAGCGGUGAAAUGCAUAGAUAUCACGCAGAACUCCGAUUGCGAAGGCAGCGUACCGGCGCCCAACUGACGCUGAAGCACGAAGGCGUGGGUAUCGUACAGGAUUAGAUACCCCGGUAAUC
rnacentral:rRNA from 1 species